ACUCAGGUGUUGUUGGGUAGGGGAGCGUUCUGUAAGCCUGUGAAGGUGUGUCGUGAGGCAUGCUGGAGGUAUCAGAAGUGCGAAUGCUGACAUAAGUAACGAUAAAGCGGGUGAAAAGCCCGCUCGCCGGAAGACCAAGGGUUCCUGUCCAACGUUAAUCGGGGCAGGGUGAGUCGACCCCUAAGGCGAGGCCGAAAGGCGUAGUCGAUGGGAAACGGGUUAAUAUUCCCGUACUUGGUGUUACUGCGAAGGGGGGACGGAGAAGGCUAUGUUGGCCGGGCGACGGUUGUCCCGGUUUAAGCGUGUAGGUGUGUGUUCCAGGUAAAUCCGGUUCACUUUAACACUGAGGCGUGAUGACGAGGCACUACGGUGCUGAAGCAACAAAUGCCCUGCUUCCAGGAAAAGCCUCUAAGCAUCAGGUAACAUCAAAUCGUACCCCAAACCGACACAGGUGGUCAGGUAGAGAAUACCAAGGCGCUUGAGAGAACUCGGGUGAAGGAACUAGGCAAAAUGGUGCCGUAACU
rnacentral:rRNA from 2 species